rnacentral:tRNA from 1 species
GGGAAGGUGGCUCAGUAGUAGAGCACUUGCCUUGCAUGCAUGAGGCCAUGGGUUCGAUUCCUCAGUACCA